rnacentral:rRNA from 1 species
ACUUGCUUUCUUUGCUGGCGACCGGCGCACGGGUGAGUAACACGUAUCCAACCUGCCCUUUACUCGGGGGUAGCCUUUCGAAAGAAAGAUUAAUACCCGAUAGCAUAAUGAUUCCGCAUGGUUUCAUUAUUAAAGGAUUCCGGUAAAGGAUGGGGAUGCGUUCCAUUAGGUUGUUGGUGGGGUAACGGCCCACCGAGCCUUCGAUGGAUAGGGGUUCUGAGAGGAAGGUCCCCCACAUUGGAACUGAGACACGGUCCAA